UACGUAGGGUGCGAGCGUUAAUCGGAAUUACUGGGCGUAAAGCGUGCGCAGGCGGUUCGUUGUGUCGGCGGUGAAAGCCCCGGGCUUAACCUGGGAACGGCCGUUGAAACUGGCGAACUGGAGUAUGGAAGAGGUGAGUGGAAUUCCGAGUGUAGAGGUGAAAUUCGUAGAUAUUCGGAGGAACACCAGUGGCGAAGGCGGCUCACUGGUCCAUUACUGACGCUGAGGUGCGAAAGCGUGGGGAGCAAACAGG
rnacentral:rRNA from 1 species